UUAUUUCUGGGAAAAACUUUAAAGUGGACAACCACAAUCACAAGGCAUACAAAGCACAAGGAACUGCAAAUAUGUAACUCUGGUAGUGCAAAGAUGAAGAAUGGCUUUUUUCCCCAAUACUUGUUGAGAGAAAAAUACUGCUGUGGAUUUGCAAUUUGAAUUCCUUUCAAAGAAAGACUUACAUUGGUAGGACUCAGUGCAGUUGCAUGUUUCAGCAAGACUAAUAUAGAGAAGGUAAAUGAAACAAAGUCAACAUAAAAUUACUACUGUGAUAUAAAUUUAUAACAACCUUUAUAACAAAAUGUCUGAAUAUACAGUACAGAGACAAGCCUCUCAAAAAAGUUCAUAUUUUCUCCAUCCAGACAAUCUGUAAGCAUGUUACCACUAAAUGACAUGCACAUAACUGAUAGCAGAUGUAACAUUCUUUGGAACUGGAUUUAAAUUUCUCUUUCAGGUGUUGCCCCAGUAUUUCAUACAGGGAACAGCAGAGGGAUAACUCCCCACUCCUCACUAGCAUUAGGAGCUCCUGGUGCAUUGUUUCUCAGGCGGGCGCCUGGGGCUGGGCAGAGACCCGCAGAGGUGCACAAGCACCUGGAGCUGGAGAAAAACUCCACCUGGGAACGUGGGUCACAAGUAGGAAGCUUUGAUAUUAGUCAGUGUAAGAGUGAGAAACUAGUGCUCGUGAAUUCCUGAGGCUCAUCAUCCCACAGCCCUGGUUUUAUUGUGUUUUAAAACAUACAAGACAGUCUCUUUGUCCAAAAAGGCCUCAUAGUUUGAAUGGCUGUAAACAUUUCUUUUAGUUUAAACCAGCAUUUUCACCAUGCCUUUGCUGUUUAAAAAAAUAACAAUCAAAAGUAGGAACACACGUUAAAACUAUUUCAAAUUCAGAAAACUAGAAUUCUUUAAUUGAGAAAUGGAAACAGAUCUGCAAACACGUGAUUAGUUCUGCAAAUAAUCUUUCUGCUGUAUUUUUAGCUGGCUCUAUCUAACUUUCAGCCUACCCUAGAGAAAAUCUAACAGUUUGAUAAGCAAGCUGCAAACCAUUUAAUAAACAGAGGUAAAUGAUCAGCACCAACUGCUGAUUUUGUCCUGCCCAAACCUAGGCCCACGGCUGCACUGCAGGGCGGCUACUGCUCCCUGUCCCAGGACAGGUCAGGAGUCUCACACUUCUCCUGUUCCCCUUGAUGUAAAAAAAGAAAAAUACAGAAGAUGUCCAUAAAAACAUGGCAGUAGCAGGUACAGGGUAAGAUUUACCCAUUAUAAUUGGCAGGGUAUGUUAUGGUUGAUCUGUGGCUGAUCUUGACUUUCAAAUGUCCCCAGGGUGACUAUUAGGUAUUAUGGUGUUGCUUUACAGGGACUGUGCUAAAAAUUUCCAGUUGCCCAGUUGGAACUGUUUAUCUGAUGAACUUUUACUGCAAUAGCAGCCAAAAUAACAGUGAUUUUACAAACCAAAUGAUUGCCUUUAUGUUAUUUUUUUUCUCUAUACUCAAGGGCUGUUGACCAGAAAUGGCUGAAAAUGACUUCCGCAGAGGAGACAAUGCAGCUCUCCUGCAACCCAAUGGAUGCUCGUUCAGCCUGACUUCAAGUAUCCAAUUUACGUGCUUGAACAAGGAGCCUGUGUACCCAGCCCAGGCUCCAGAGGAUGACUUAGAACAGAAGUGCUCUAAGGUUAUUCAACAGACAUAAGGGACUUGUCUGCUUGACCUUUGGGAUAUGAAAGCAAAACCAAAACAAAUCUAAUAGGCACAAUCACAGGAAAAUUAAUUCUAAAACAGAGAUAAAAUGAGUCAUCCUCUGGAAAUACUUCUCUUUGUUAAUGAGCAGUAGAGCACUUCUGGUACUAAGCAUGGAUUCAGAUGUCUAGCUUUCAGACAUCUGAAUUUAAAUGAGAUGACUCCUACCUCAGGCUCCCACAUUAGGAACUUAAGUUUGAUACCUGAUGUUAGACGGUACAAGUACUCUCUGUCCUUACUGAGAACAGCCACCUCUUGAAUCCAGGACAAGCUGCAAUCACAUUUACUUAGAGAAGACCC
rnacentral:lncRNA from 1 species